AUUGAACGCUGGCGGCAUGCCUUACACAUGCAAGUCGAACGGUAACAGGUCUUCGGAUGCUGACGAGUGGCGAACGGGUGAGUAAUACGUCGGAACGUGCCUAGUAGUGGGGGAUAACUACUCGAAAGAGUGGCUAAUACCGCAUGAGAUCUACGGAUGAAAGCAGGGGAUCGCAAGACCUUGUGCUACUAGAGCGGCCGAUGGCAGAUUAGGUAGUUGGUGGGAUAAAAGCUUACCAAGCCGACGAUCUGUAGCUGGUCUGAGAGGACGAUCAGCCACACUGGGACUGAGACACGGCCCAGACUCCUACGGGAGGCAGCAGUGGGGAAUUUUGGACAGUGGGCGAAAGCCUGAUCCAGCAAUGCCGCGUGCAGGAUGAAGGCCUUCGGGUUGUAAACUGCUUUUGUACGGAACGAAAAGCCCCGGGUUAAUACCCUGGGGUCAUGACGGUACCGUAAGAAUAAGCACCGGCUAACUACGUGCCAGCCGCCGCGGUAA
rnacentral:rRNA from 1 species